GAUUAUGUCUGUAAUUUAUGGACAUUGUUAAAGGAUAUAUUUUUUCUUGCCCAGUAGCAUAAUCCAUGUGUAUGGAUCUGAUUACUGGAGCACUGAAAGACAAGAUGGCUGUAGGCGGCAUAUCUCUAGAAAUGAGCCUCUUUCCAUAUGGUUUGAUUGUUAUUCAUACUUCCUGGCAGUGGUUAGAAGAGGAGGAUGACUGAGAAUUUAGUAGAUGCCUGGUGGGAUUGACAGUGGUCGUUUGAGGUCAGGGAGUCAGUAGAGAGAGAUUAGGUGGCUGCUGACUCAACGGGGUGAAGCCAAGAGGCCCCCAGCAAAACCACAUCUGUAGCUCCAUACCCUGAAAAUGAGCAUGCCCUUAAUGUCCACAUCCUUCAGACAUCAGGACCACUGAAACUUAGUGGAUUUGUUUAACAGCAUUGACCCACCGGCCUCACUGGAAAAAACAGACCUAACUCUCUCUUUUGGCUUCUUAGUUGGCUUUUCAAGGGAUAAAGAGGUCAUGAAAAUAGACCUUUGUCCCCUUUGCCAAGCCCUGAAGGCCUGCUAGAAGCAUUGGUACUGGUGUUUGUUGUUUGCUGUUAUCUAAGUGGAGCAACUCCAGUAUCACAAAGCUGUGCACGGGUGUCAGGCUCCCUGAGACACAAGGUGUCUGUGCUGCCACUGGAUACGAGCUCUGAGAUAUCUUCAGUGUACCAGGAAAUACCAAGAGUGUUUUGAGACAGCAGAAAAGCAUCUGCUGAGGCUCCUCUGAGCUCUGUUUUCUCUUCUGCCUGCCUCUCCUCUCUGUUAGGUCAGAGGGAGCAAGUGGGAUAGAAAUCCU